CGCCAGCCCGCUCAGAAACUCAAAGGAAUUGACGGGGGCCCGCACAAGCGGUGGAGCACGUGGUUUAAUUCGAUGCAAACCGAAGAACCUUACCUGGGCUCAAAUGUAUGUUGACGUAUUCUGAAAGGGAUACUUCUUCGGACAAUAUACAAGGUGCUGCAUGGUUGUCGUCAGCUCGUGCCGUGAGGUGUCGGGUUAAGUCCCCAUAACGAGCGCAACCCCUAUCAUUAGUUGCCAUCAGGUCAAGCUGGGGACUCUAAUGAAACUGCCUACGCAAGUAGUGAGGAAGGUGGGGAUGACGUCAAAUCAGCACGGCCCUUACGUCCAGGGCUACACACGUGCUACAAUGGCCGGUACAAAGGGCAGCUACCUGGUGACAGGAUGCUAAUCUCAAAAGCCGGUCUCAGUUCGGAUCGGAGUCUGCAACCCGACUCCAUGAAGCUGGAAUCGCUAGUAAUCGCGCAUCAGCCAUGGCGCGGUGAAUACGUUCCCGGGCCUU
rnacentral:rRNA from 1 species